ensembl:lncRNA
UCGAAACCAUGACCUUCUUGCAAUGAGGAAAUGUUGCUACCGAUCACACUGAUCCUGGACGUGUCAGUGUUUGUCAUAAAGAGCAAUUAAAAAGGUGUGCCUAAGAAAGUGGCUGUUGACUGAUCAGUGUAUCUCUCAAGACCCCUUUAAAUGAGUGUCAAGUUUGUAACCUUGACAGUAACAUGUUUUUUAUGAGGGGCCCACAAACAAAAUUACUAUGAAACACGUGUCUUCAAUCCCACACCUCCAUUUUUCUAUAUAAGGAAAUGCUUUACCUCUUACCUCUUUGAAAAAAGAAAGAAAAGAAAAUAGUCUAUAACUGAUGACAUCUCACAAGUAUUAAAUCCAUUUUUGAUAAACGGCAAGUUCUGUACACUUAAUGGAAGGUUGCCGGUUCGAGCCCCGGCUUGGACAGUCUCGGUCGUUGUGUCCUUGGGCAAGACACUUCACCCGUUGCCUACUGGUGGUGGUCAGAGGGCCCGGUGGCGCCAGUGUCCGGCAGCCUCGCCUCUGUCAGUGCGCCCCAGGGUGGCUGUGGCUACAAUGUAGCUUGCCAUCACCAGUAUGUGAAUGUGUGUGUGAAUGGGUGGAUGACUGGAUAUGUAAAGCGCUUCAUUACUUUUUCAAUUCCUCUUGAUUUAUAGUAUUAAAUCCAAGUAUUUAGUUCUGAUAAACAAAUCAGUUUGGACAGAGUUUUUUUUUUCUUUUUUCUUUUUUAAAAAAAAAAGCUUUUUAUUCAUAUUUACACCAGAGACAGAAGUUGCAGCAAGUUCUUUCUUCAGAGGAGUGUGGUAUCUCUGGUUGCAUCUGACUUGUUUUCUCAUUUCUAAUGAUUAGAUUUUAUUUUAUGUGUCUGAUUACAGAGUCAAGGUGAGUGUAUAGUGGGACAAGCCAAUUUUCAGAUAGAUAAACAGACGGAGUGCCUUUUAGCGACCGCCUUUUCAGAGUCUUUUUAUGUCAGUGUUUUAAUUCAGAGUCAUUGUUACUCUUAGGCUAUGUCCACAUGUACACGGGUAUUUUUGAAAACUGAGAUUUUCCGUUUCUGUUUUAAAAAAUAAUCCCGUCCACAUGUAAACGCAGAAAUGAAGGAAAAGGCUGCUAGGAAGCAACAGGUGGCGAUAUAUUCCUAACCGUGUAGAAAUGUUGGCCAAUCAGAAGUCUAGAAGCCUCGGUGGGAAAUAGUAAACAAAGAUGGGGCACAGAAGCCAAACCCAGUCGCAUGUGUGGAGGGACAGUAACUGUGUGUGUAUAUUUAAGCAUUUAAACACUGCAGAGAGUACAAUUAACAGUAACAGUAUUGUAGAAAUUCAUUUCACC